ensembl:lncRNA
GGGGACCGCCGAUCGACCGGUGGUAGAUCGUGGAUCAGGCAAACCUAAGGCAGGAGCGUGAGGUGAACUGAAUUUCAGAGUGAACGAGAUCUUUGGUUUUGCCUUUGCUGACUGCUGAUCUGAUCGUCUCAAGUCUGGUGACCUGCUGCAGAAAACCCUCUCCCUCUAUCAUUAACAAGCAAUUCAGUCUGUCCUAUCACUCUCCCUCUCCCUGCUCCAUCUUUUUUGACAAGCCAUUCUAUCUUCUAUCAUUUCUCCGCCAUGAGCUCUAUCUAAGUUGACAAGCUUGAACCUGAGUUGAAACGCAAUCCUGUGACUUGAAAUCAAGUUUUACCAGAAUCUAAGUUUUUGAAUUGAAGUUACCAGAACUUCGUCAAUCUGUUUUCAGAAUUCUGAGAGAUCUCCGCUCUCACUGCUCCAUCUUUCCUGUCGUUAAACUCUCUCACAUCCAGUCAUUUUGCUGGAAAUUACAAGUAAAAAGUUGAAUAUACAGUAAUAGAAUUACAGUACAGUAGAACUCACUGUAGAAACUACUUACAGAGCCCUACAUUUGUCAUUUUAAUUUUUACAUUACACUUUGGAAUAAACACUGAUAGUUUGGCUUACGGGUGCUGUUACUUUGAUAAAUUAUAUAAAAUACACACCUUUUUCAAGGUUUAUUUGUAAUAAGAUAAUCUGGUUAUUUUGUAAUACAUACAUUCAGACUUAUAUUCACAUAAAUAAUAAAUUGGAUCCAAAUAUAUUUUUCAAGUCUGUUUCAUUGGCUAUAACAUUUGACUACAAGUUUAUACUAUUAUUAUUUAAGGACAAACCCUUUUUUGUCACUCAGUGUAAGUAUUCAGUUACAGUUGUCAUCUAGAGGCUGCCCUGAGAACCCAGACUUCCUGUUUCCUGACUGCUGCAGAACGUCCAGCUGAAGAAUCCCCAUAGCCUGUCAUCUGAUCACCACACCAUCAC